UAAAGAUUCCCUCCCCUUGCAGCUGGGUGGAGAGGUGGUCUGGGCUGCUCUGGAAACAGCGAAUAGAGAAGCGGCUGUCUGAAGAGGACAGAGAUUUGAGAUAAAGAUGCACAUCUAUUUCUUUCUUGUGGACAGUAUGUUUAUGGAUAUGAAAUCACACCCGACCCUUGCUUAGAAAGCAGCAGCGAUUUGCUCGACGGAGUGGCACGUGUUUACUCUCACUGACGCUGUUUGAGGUGAUCCGUUUUCCUGGUAACAGACAGAAUGUGUUCCUUUCUGUGAAUUCACAGAGGCUCCAACGCUGCAGUUCCUUGGGAGCAAACUCUGCUGUUAGGCACUAUAAUUUUUUGAUUUUGCAGUUCACAUGAUGUCUCAGAAGAGGGAUAUGUCUUUUCUAACAACCAUCAUUUUUAUACAAAAUGGAAGGUUAUUUUUCCUUGUUUAGAAGAAGACGAUGAAUCAUAAUUAUGCAAUUGAGUUUGUGCACUUAGCAGCUAAAUGAAUAUUUUCCAAACUGUUUUCUGUGGAACACAGAGCUGAAAGAAUGUUAGUAAAUUUUAGGAAAAUAAAGACAUCCUGUGUCAAAUAAGUUAAAGAAAUGCUGAAUUAAACAUAAUCAAAGAGUCAUAUUAAUGGUAGAGCUUCCCAAAACAUUUAAUAUGCAAAGUAGCAUGUGAUUUGUCACUGGAGGAUGAACUUUAUGCUGUCUUUCCUUUCCUUUUUUUUUUUUUUUUCCAAGCCAUAGCCCUAUUUUUCUGAGAUCAUCUCUACUUAUCUAAAGCUCCAAAAUCUUUAGGAAAUACUGCGCUAGGAGCAAUGGCUCACAUCUUAGGCUACUUGGAGAAGAAAAAUGUUUAUUUUUUACAUAGCUAAUGUCAAGAGCAAGUGACAUUGGAGUUUAAAUUAGAUUAAGUGGCCUAUGAUGCUACUUAAUUCAAACUGAGAGUUUAAAAAAAUCUCACAAACUGUUAUGUACUUGAAAUGGAAAAGAAUAAGCAAAAAAAGAGAAGGCUUUCAAACAUGUUCAGUAACCUCUUCAGCAGACACCCACAUGAAACUUCAUUAAUCAUUUAAAAUGUGGCAAGGCAAAGAAAAUCUGAUUGAAUGACUGUCCAAAUAAUUAUAGUUUAUUCCUCCACUUUUUCUCAUUGAAAUCACAUUGUCGUUUGAGUGGUCAUCUUGACACGACUAAUUAUUGCUAUUCAAGAAAAAGGAAAAAAGAGUCUCAAAAUGUAGUUUCACCAAUUCUUGCCAUCGUAAGCAAUCAUGGGAAAAAGGGAGAUUGUGGAGAAUGAAAAUUUGAAUAUUCCCCUCUCUACCCCUCCCUCUCUGUCUCUUCUACAUGCGUUUCCCGGGACCUCUCUUGUCUCUCCACCCUCUCGUCUGUGAUCUCUCCUGCCACCCUUCAUCGGUCACUGGCCCAUCGUUUUAGUCUUUUGCCUCAUCAAGGAGAACCCGCGAUCUGUUUUGCCCACGUAGGUAAAAUGCAUUGAGAAAUGUACCUUGAGCUGUGGCAAAGGCUCGCGAGUGGUAAGAGGAUACAGGUCUUGCCCAGCUCUGCCAUUCAGGCCUGGGACCUUGAACAGGCACUCAGUCUCCCUUGGCUGCAUUUCUUCCUCCAUAACAUGCUUCUGUUGAGCCAGACGACAUCUCGAGUCCCUCUGAGCCCUAAGGGCACAUGGUCCUAUGUCUUUUUGAGUUUUCAUUCCCAGUCUCCCACAGGAAACAACACAGCGAAGUCGACAACCUUGAGGUAACUUAUUAGUUAACUAUGACUGCCCUACCCUUAGAAGAAAUGGCACUUCAUCAAAAAGGGGAAUAGAGUCAACUCCUGUGGAAAAUGUUCUGAAUGGCGUGCUUGUGAAUUUCGAUCUUUGACUGGAAGCCACUGUGAAUGAACAGCUUCAGGACAAGCCUCUUACAUUAAUCACCUCAUGACUUUAACUGAGAAAUUGAUGAAUUGAAUUGAAUGUAUGCCUGGGUUCCCGGGCAGCAAAGGUGCUGAUGGAACUGGUCUUCUCACCAUUUUCUUUGAAAGAGAAAAGAAGUUGCACAUGGUCCAUGCUCACAUCCAGGAGACAAGUAUUACAUUGCUCCUGAAAUGGAACCAUUCCUCUCUGAUCAUUGCUUUUCUCCAUGGUUAUUUCUUAAACAUAACUUUGUUUAUAUGUAACCCCAAAUCAAGGAAAACUAAAACACCUCAUGGAAAACAAAAUUUCCUAAGUAUAACACAAGCACAAUUUGCUUUUCACUGCAUGCAGGGUUGCUUCUCUGCCCUGGCUGGUUGUGAGAUACUUCCAGGGAACACGUUUCAGGGUAUGAGAAUGAGGCCAGUGGCUGCUGAUGUUAAAAGGACAUGGCAUCUGCACUAGGUUGGAGAGGGGGCUGGUUGCACAAAUUAAAGUCAAACACAUCACAGUCUGAUCAGCAGACAUGGGCUUGAGUGUGUUGUCUAGGUUUUUUCUUUUCUUUCCUUUUCUUUUUUACUACCUCCCAGUAACAGUGAGGCAAUU